UACGGGGGGGGCAAGCGUUGUUCGGAAUUACUGGGCGUAAAGGGCGCGUAGGCGGCUAGAUGUGUCAAAGGUGAAAUCCCUCGGCUCAACUGAGGAACUGCCUUUGAAACUGUCUGGCUUGAGGCCGGGAGAGGAUAGCGGAAUUCCCAGUGUAGCGGUGAAAUGCGUAGAUAUUGGGAGGAACACCAGUGGCGAAGGCGGCUACCUGGACCGGUUCUGACGCUGAGGCGCGAAAGCGUGGGUAGCAAACAGG
rnacentral:rRNA from 1 species